rnacentral:rRNA from 1 species
GGCUCGUCCGCUCAGGGUUAGUCGGGACCUAAGCCGAGGCCGAAAGGCGUAGGCGAUGGACAACAGGUUGAUAUUCCUGUACCACCUCCUCACCAUUUGAGCAAUGGGGGGACGCAGGAGGAUAGGGUAAGCGCGGUAUUGGAUAUCCGCGUCCAAGCAGUUAGGCUGGGAAAUAGGCAAAUCCGUUUCCCAUAAGGCUGAGCUGUGAUGGCGAGCGAAAUAUAGUAGCGAAGUUCCUGAUUCCACACUGCCAAGAAAAGCCUCUAGCGAGGUGAGAGGUGCCCGUACCGCAAACCGACACAGGUAGGCGAGGAGAGAAUCCUAAGGUGAUCGAGAGAACUCUCGUUAAGGAACUCGGCAAAAUGACCCCGUAGCUUCGGGAGAAGGGGUGCUCUGUUAGGGUGCAAGCCCGAGAGAGCCGCAGUGAAUAGGCCCAGGCGACUGUUUAGCAAAAACACAGGUCUCUGCGAAGCCGUAAGGCGAAGUAUAGGGGCUGACGCCUGCCCGGUGCUGGAAGGUUAAGAGGAGCGCUUAGCGUAAGCGAAGGUGCGAAUUGAAGCCCCAGUAAACGGCGGCCGUAACGAUAACGGUCCUAAGGUAGCGAAAUUCCUUGUCGGGUAAGUUCCGACCCGCACGAAAGGCGCAACGAUCUGGGCACUGUCUCAACGAGAGACUCGGUGAAAUUAUAGUACCUGUGAAGAUGCAGGUUACCCGCGACAGGACGGAAAGACCCCGUGGAGCUUUACUGCAGCCUGAUAUUGAAUGUUGGUACAGCUUGUACAGGAUAGGUAGGAGCCUUGGAAACCGGAGCGCCAGCUUCGGUGGAGGCAUCGGUGGGAUACUACCCUGGCUGUAUUGACCUUCUAACCCGCCGCCCUUAUCGGGCGGGGAGACAGUGUCAGGUGGGCAGUUUGACUGGGGCGGUCGCCUCCUAAAAGGUAACGGAGGCGCCCAAAGGUUCCCUCAGAAUGGUUGGAAAUCAUUCGCAGAGUGUAAAGGCACAAGGGAGCUUGACUGCGAGACCUACAAGUCGAGCAGGGACGAAAGUCGGGCUUAGUGAUCCGGUGGUUCCGCAUGGAAGGGCCAUCGCUCAACGGAUAAAAGCUACCCCGGGGAUAACAGGCUUAUCUCCCCCAAGAGUCCACAUCGACGGGGAGGUUUGGCACCUCGAUGUCGGCUCAUCGCAUCCUGGGGCUGUAGUCGGUCCCAAGGGUUGGGCUGUUCGCCCAUUAAAGCGGUACGCGAGCUGGGUUCAGAACGUCGUGAGACAGUUCGGUCCCUAUCCGUCGCGGGCGCAGGAAAUUUGAGAGGAGCUGUCCUUAGUACGAGAGGACCGGGAUGGACGCACCGCUGGUGUACCAGUUGUUCUGCCAAGGGCAUCGCUGGGUAGCUAUGUGCGGACGGGAUAAGUGCUGAAAGCAUCUAAGCAUGAAGCCCCCCUCAAGAUGAGAUUUCCCAUUCCGCAAGGAAGUAAGAUCCCUGAAAGAUGAUCAGGUUGAUAGGUCUGAGGUGGAAGUGUGGCGACACAUGGAGCUGACAGAUACUAAUCGAUCGAGGACUUAACC